GGAACGCGAAGUGACUUAAAUUCCAGGGAGCGGGCGCAGGGAUUGGGGAGGAAGCGUCGCCCCAGAGAAGCGCGGGGAUUUAAAACCCUGUCAGGGGAGGAGGAGGGGGCGUCGGCCGCGUGAAGGAGAAGGUUUUAUUUAUUCAUGAAAGACAGAGAGGCAGCGACCCAGGCGGUGGGAGAAGCAGGCUCCAUGCAGGGAGCCCAACGCGGGACUCGAACCCGGGACCCCAGGAUCACGCCCCGGGGCCGAAGGCAGGCGCUCAACCGCUGGGCCACCCGGGCUGCCCAGAGAAUCCUAUGGAUAAAUUAAUCGAUAGAUGGAUCUUCACAUACUUGAUUCUCAUGAAACCUUAAAGGACGCCGACGUGGCCCCGUCUUAGCGCUGAGGAUACUGACGCUCCGAGACCUGGAGCCGCACGGCCGGCAGGCGGCAGGAGGACGUCCGAGCUGCUAGCGGGACCGGCCGGCGCCGCCGCCCGCCCUGCGCCUCGUGUCCGCCCGCGGUGAAGCCGAGAUCGCCCCGGAGCUGCAGGCGCAGCCGGCCCCGCCCGGUACAGUGAGGGCCUGCGGGCCCGGGGAGGCCCCCUCGGCCUCGGCUCUUCGCGCUCGGGUAGCCACGGCCCGCAGACCCCGGGGCCUCGGCCCGCGCUUUGGGUUUUCUUCCUAAUCAGAUGUUGAAGAUGCUACAGUAAACAUUGUGUCAAACUUCUGCUUUCGUGGCGCCUUGUUUGAGAAGCAAAGGAGGGACAGACAUUAAUAGAAACAGAUAAAAACAUGGGAAAACCCCCAAAGGUCAGGUAAAGCCAGACCCUGAUGGCCCUGUAGGUUUGUUUGGAGCCUUGAUUAUCUGGAGAGUAAUUGGAAACGGACAGAUUUUUCUAAUAGGCGUGUGUGUGUGUGUGUGUGUGUGUGUGAUGAUUAAAUUUUGGACAUGAACAUUUCUCUUUGGUUACAGUUGCAAAAAACAGAGUAGAAGCCAGAAGACAGUUGGACUACUACAGUAGUCUGGCCAAAAAACAUUGUUUGAAAUAGUUUAGUAACUGUGGAUAUAGAGAAAAGAAAUUGGAAUUGAGAUACAUUUUGGAAGUAGAAUUGAUAGACUUGUAGGUGAAAAAAAGUAAUUAAGGAUAAUUCUGGGGUUUUGGCUUGAGCCUCUCAGACUGUCACCGUCUGGGUGGAUGAUGAUGCUCUGUUGGGCAUGAGAAGAGGCACUAGGGAGCCAGAUUAGGGACUGCAGUGAAGGGUAGGAAAGGGAGGAGUAUGUAUUAGAGCUAAAAUACCUAUUCAGUGCCUGUGUUUCAAGAAGGCAACUGGAUGUACAUUUGGUAGUAUCAACAGGAUACACGUAUAGCAUCAACACAUAUAAUACUUAUAUUCAAAGAUAAGAGGUAUUAUAGGCAGGGAGACAGGGACCCAGUAUUGAUUUAUGAAGCAUCCCAAUGUGGAGAGAUGGAGGAGAGGGGAAGACCAAGAUAAUAAUCCUUUCUCUCUUGGCCCUGACACUCUAGAUAGACCGUAACCUGUAAGUAAGUGAGUAAAUUCCUUUGGAGAUUAAUAUAUUCUUUGAAGGAAAAAAAGCAGAGACAGGAUAGAGGGAUAAACUGAUUGGAGAAGGCAUGCUACGCUAAACACUAUCCUCUGUGGGCUUUUGUCCAUGUCUUUUACCAUCAGUAAAAUGAUUAGCAUAUAAUAGACAUAUAAAUAUAUGUUCAGCGAAUGAAUGUGGGAAUGGAUUAACUUUAAUAUUUAUAACUGCCUCUUUUGGUCAAGAAUUGUUUCAUAGGCCAUCAAAAUAAAUUUAAGGGUCCUUCUCUACUAUGAUUGAGACAUCACAACUCAUCGGGAUAGUAAAGGGACAGAAUUUUCUCUCUCCACUUAAUUACUUUCAGUUGUACUGACUUAAAUCUGUCUUACCCUUGUCUUGUCAAUAGAUUUCAUGAUUUCUUAGUCAUUUCCAGUUAAUAGUCCUGGGGGGCUCGAAAUGUUGACUCCGGAUUACGUUCAGGCCUCAAUUUUUACCCUCUUCACAUAUCAGGCUUCACCUAAGAGGAGAGAGAUUAAUUUGCUUUCAUUUCUCCCACCUUUGAGUAGAAGUGAGUGUGGUCUGCUCUGUGUUGCACAUUUCUCACUGUCUUUUCUUGGGAUGCCUGGGAUACCACAGAGGUUCCCAAACUUCCUUAGGUAAUGGUGCAUUUAUUGUCUUAGUAGUAUUGUUUUGUUUUGCUUUCUUAACAGCAUCCCUUAGUGCCUCCUUGCUUCCUCUUCCACCCAGAUUCUCAAGAGGCAUUUGUUCUUUAUCAAAACAACAGAAAAAAAAAAAAAAAAAAA
rnacentral:lncRNA from 1 species